UACGAAGGGGGCUAGCGUUGCUCGGAAUCACUGGGCGUAAAGCGCACGUAGGCGGGUCCUUAAGUCAGGGGUGAAAUCCCGGAGCUCAACUCCGGAACUGCCUUUGAUACUGGGGAUCUUGAGUCCGGAAGAGGUGAGUGGAACUCCGAGUGUAGAGGUGAAAUUCGUAGAUAUUCGGAAGAACACCAGUGGCGAAGGCGGCUCACUGGCCCGGUACUGACGCUGAGGUGCGAAAGCGUGGGGAGCAAACAGGG
rnacentral:rRNA from 1 species